GUAGGUGCAAGCGUUGUCCGGAAUUAUUGGGCGUAAAGCGCGCGCAGGCGGUUCUUUAAGUCUGAUGUGAAAGCCCACGGCUCAACCGUGGAGGGUCAUUGGAAACUGGAGAACUUGAGUACAGAAGAGGAAAGCGGAAUUCCACGUGUAGCGGUGAAAUGCGUAGAGAUGUGGAGGAACACCAGUGGCGAAGGCGGCUUUCUGGUCUGUAACUGACGCUGAGGCGCGAAAGCGUGGGGAGCAAACAGGAUUAGAUACCCUGGUAGUCCACGCCGUAAACGAUGAGUGCUAAGUGUUAGGGGGGUUUUCCGCCCCCCUUAGUGCUGCAGCUAACGCAUUAAGCACUCCGCCUGGGAGUACGGCCGCAAGGCUG
rnacentral:rRNA from 1 species